UAUUAAGGCAUUGGAUCUUUUUUAGUUUUAAUAUAUUUUUAAAUGGUUUGAUUGUCAUCUGUUCCACAGUAAAGCUGUGUGGGGAAGGAGGCCUGGCUGCUAUAUAAUACAGGAAGGCUGUACCCUAUUCCUCACCAGGGAAUUGAGGAUGUAGGGCAGAAGGCCCCUCUUGGAAUGCCACCCUCACACAGCAUGCAAGUGUGUGCAGAGCUGAUGUCACAAUGUUCUUUGUGCUGUUCCCCCAAGUUCUCACUAGCUUCACACACACCCUUGGUUCUCUCCAUGUCCACAUUUGUUUUACUCCAGAUGAAGCUGCGCAAAUAUGGAGACAAGGGGGUGAAAGGAAGUUCUGGACACAGCUAACACCAUCUGCUUUUUCACCCAUGCUUCCUGCAGGCAUAUAGGGUUGCAGAAGAGGAUGACAAUGCUAUGAAUACAAGAGCGAAAUGUUGGCUUAGCAGAGCUCCAUGACACAGCAUGCCACCAAAAAGGCUCUUGGAGCUAUCGAUCUUCUGGGGAACUUCAGUCUUGCUUUGAAUUUUGCUGACUGACCUCCUGUCAUUGCAACUACUUUAGCAGCAGUCAUGAUGCACGUAUGCGUGCACGUGCUGUAGUUCUGUUGAGUUCCUUGCUUCUACUAUAAUUAAGAGUCCAUAAAUAAGUGCUUCUAAUGCACUUGACUAGAGAAAGUAAUUGCUAUUUAAAUGGAUAAUUUAUUGUGUGCUAAUUAAAAGCCCAAUAGGUGAGAACAUUAUAAUGAAAUGUAACUUAACUCAAUAAGGAGGUUUUUAAUAAUCAUUAGUUGCCUGAAAUAUACCUGAUACAGCAGUUCUGUAAUGACAAGCUCUAAUUGAUGUUUUUAACAUAUUUUUAUUGUGGAUAAAUUGCUGUUUUGUUGUAUGUCUCUCUUUCCCUGUCUUUCACAUACACAGCUUCCCAGCUGGAGACCCCAUUCUGCUUUAUUACAGUUUAUUCUUCCCUGCUUUGGGAACUUCUCUCCCUUAUGCUGGUCAACUCAUCUCAGUUACACCAACAUUGAGCAGGAUGUGAGUAAACAGAUGUGGGGAGCUGCCAACUUCUACCAAAGAAAGAUGCUAGCUUUUAAUUUCAGCUAUCAGAAUGUACAAUAGAGAUCUGCUCUCUUUCCAUUUGACUUACAGUAUAAGGCAGAGAAACCCUCGAAGUGUCCAGUGUUCUAACCACUCAUCUUAGAGCAGAAUGAUUACGCAAGAAGAAUGGUAAACCUCGGUGUGUCUUGGUAAUAAAUUUCACUUUCAAAGAAGGAAGCUUAAGAACAGAGGCUGGAAAGUAAAUGUGCCUCACACAAUGGAGCAGCAAGCCAGCUUUGUUUGAAUUGAACAUCCUGGAAGAUAUCUGAGCUGGGAACAAGUAGCAUGUGAUUUAAGGACUGAGACAGUAGACGGCUGAUUUUCUUGGCAAAAAUAGUAUGAGAAAGCUGCACUGGCCUUUCAAGGAUAAGAGAUUUCAUAGCACUGAAAGUCUUGGUGGGCAUAGUGUGGAUGGCUUGAUGGUGGAAAUGGAAGAUCUUGGUGGUCUUUUCCAACCUUUAUGAUUCUUUGUGAUUCCUGAGAGGAAAAAACACCAUUCCUGUUCACAGUGAAGGAGCCACAGUCCACCACCUCCAGGGUCAAGGCUUUGCCACCACCGCAGGGCAUGGAGUGCCAUAAGUAGUGCUGAAUGGAGCAAGGAGGAGGAGAUGGCCGCACACAUAGCAUGGAAGCUUUGACUAAUGGACUCCAGCUCUCAAGGCUCUUACUGUCAGCAGGAAGCUCCCGAGCAGUUCCUCACCUUCAAACUCCUUUUAAAGGUGUCUCCAACUCAGAAAAGCCUGCUUGAGGACCCAAAGCCCAGAGGAGACAGUUGUUUCAACUUCACAUAAAAGGAGAAUGUGAAAAAUCAACAUGAUGGAAUGGCUACACAGCAGGUGUAAUGACAAGGGAACCAGCACAAUAGAAAGGUGCUACAAAGAAAAGGGCUCACCUGACUCUGAAGAUGUCAGCCCACAACGGAAACUCCACAACAGAGGGAUCUCCAACCAGAGGUCCUUCCCCAGCAGCAGCCAGCCUUUAAAUGAGGUCUAAGAGAGGUACAGCGAUACUCCACCCAUUCCAAUCACACAGCUGAAUUGCCUUCACCUGUGCUCCCAGGGCUGACUGGGUCCUUCUCCAGGAGCUCAAUCAGUGCUUCAGGAGUAAUGUAGUUGAACAGCGCUCAUGAGGAACUUGCAUCUGCACUAGCUGAGCUCUGUUUAAGAACUGAAGAGGGGAAAGCAUCUAAUUAACAAG